rnacentral:lncRNA from 1 species
AAAGCUUCGCAGGCAGGCAGUGUCACGCAGAGGUGGCCAGGAGGGGUUCCACACUAUGGGCGCAAACAGCGGAGCUGUCGGAUGGCUGUGUGUGAAGUCGGGGUUUGCAUGCACAAACUUCUUUUUGUAAGCCUGCCUCCUGAAGGUAGAGUGCCUUGAGCUCUCUCAUUCCUCUAUAGCAUUGCUCAGAGCCUUGGGGUUCACCUUCCCUUGGGCCACAUGCUAUCCCCGUGGCCGUCACUCCAACGCUGGCUCUAGAUGUGGAAUGCAGCCUGGCUGUCCGGAGCAGGCAGCUAAUUACAGCUUUAAUUUUAUUGUGUUUAGCAGGAGACAGAGCUCCAGCCUCUGCUAACUACAGAUCUGAAGACAGGCAUGAGAGCAGAUAAGAGGCGUUGACAGAGCGCAUGGGCCUGUGGCACGCUGCCCGUCAGAAAAGGCUGUGUUGGAAUGGUGCUCCCAUCAAGUCCCAGCUUUCCUUGUUGUGCGCCUUAGCACAACGUGAAGAGCCUGCAUAUAGCAAAGGAAGCUGCAAGCUCUCUUUCCAGUUUGAGCAAGGCAACAGAGAAAGAACUCUCCAGGUAGGUGUGAAGUGUAAAACAGACUGAUGCUGAAGAGAGAUUCACUCCAGCUUCCCUUUCAUCUGAAGCUGAUGGGGAGCUGAGGAACUCUGGUCUCACAGGGAUUCUGCCUUGGCUGUUUCAGUGCUGUGCAGGAGGCAUACUGUGGGUUAGCUGAGGCUUACACCGUAGCCCGGUACGUCAGCCACAAGACCUCCUUCCUCAGCAGAAAGAUGUGAUGAAUCUCUUGUUGAUUAAAUAGAAUGCUCAAUUUACUUUUUCCUUUUUCCUCUUAAAAGCAAAACAAAACAAAGAACUCCCUGAACAUUUUGGUUUUUCUCAUCCUCUCAGAGUGUUAGUCAUCAUUUAAAAUACACACAAUGAUUAAAAUGAGUCUGAUCAUGUUCAGGUACAAUAUUUCAGGGAGGCUACUUGGUAUGACUUGCAUGAGGACAUGAAAUGCCAGAAGGACCAGUGCAAUCAGCAGCAAACUUCUCUGCCAAACAGAGUGGGUGGGGCCAUGUGC